UACUUUCCCUUCGCAUCUCUUCUACGCGUCCUCUUAUUGUGCGGCGCCAUCUUCAUCUCCUGUGCGCUGUCGGCGCAUUCUCCUACCUCACCGUCGACCGUCGUCACUAAUGGAAGCAGCUUCGAUCCUCAUCUCGAUCCAUAUUCACUCGAUGAUGAGAUCUCUCUUCGCACCAUGAUGUCGAAAGCUCAUGUCUACACUGAUGUGAACGUGAUCCGUCCUAAAGAGUAUUGGGAUUACGAGUCUGUCAAUGUUGAUUGGGGGUAAGAUCCAAAGUUUGAGUCUUUUUUGUGGAAUUGAUACGAAAGUUUUAGCCUUUAUGGCUUUUGAUAUUUGAUCUGUUUGAAGAGAAGUUGUUUGGUUUAGUUCUGUAUAUGAUAGGUAAUGAUGAUGUUUAUGUUAAAAGGUUCAAGCUUUCUUCUUUGUGUUUGGUUUCUUUAGGGAGCAAAAUGAUUACGAGGUAGUGAGGAAAGUGGGGAAAGGCAAAUACAGUGAGGUUUUUGAGGGGAUUAACAUGAACAGCAACGAGAAGUGCAUUAUCAAGAUCCUUAAGCUUGUCAAGAAGAGGAAGGUUAGUGUUUUACAUUACUUAAAGUUAGAUAGGUUCUUUUGUGAAUUGUUAUUUAUGUGAUCCUUUUAACAGAUUAGAAGAGAGAUUAAGAUACUUCAGAAUCUCUGUGGAGGCCCAAACAUUGUGAAGCUGCUCGAUGUUGUCAGAGACCAACACUCAAAAACUCCAAGCUUGAUAUUUUAGUAUGUUAACAGCACAGGCUUUAAGGUUCUUUAUCCUACUUUGACUGGCUAUGACAUCUGAUACUACAUCUAUGAGCUGUUGAAGGCAUUGGACUACUGCCACUCGCAAGGUAUAAUGCACAGAGAUGUGAAGCCACACAAUAUCACGAUUCGACCAUGAGCUGCGCAAACUUCGCCUGAUAGAUUGGAGUCUCGCUGAGUUUUAUCAUCCUGGAAAAGAGUAUAACGUCCGUGUGGUCUCCAGGUUCUGUUAUCUAAUUUUUGUAUUUUAAUGUAAACAUGUUACAUUAUACUAUCUUUAUCAAUAACUAACCUCGAUGAAAUGUUACCUCUUCAAUCAGGUACUUCAAGGAACACGAACUUUUAGUGGAUUUACAGGACUAUGACUAUUCCUUGGAUAUGUGGAGCCUUGGUUGCAUGUUUGCUGGGAUGAUAUUCCGCAAGGAACCUUUCUUCUAUGGCCAUGACAACCAGGAUCAGCUUGUCAAAAUUGCCAAGAUCCCUGGAACUGAUGAAUUGAAUGCAUAUCUGAACAAGUAUCAGUUAGAACUUGACGCUCAAUUAGCGGUACUUUUAUUCUUACGAGGAAACUUGAGAAUUUUGAGAAUUGUUUCAAAUCAU